CGGCGUUGAAACAUUUGUUCUCGUACGAUCACCAAAGUUAAGCAACGUUGAGCAUGAUCAAUACUUAGAUGGGUGACCGCUUCGGAAUACAAGGUGCUGUAUG